rnacentral:misc_RNA from 1 species
UCCCGGUUGGCCCGGGCAGUCUCGUAUGAGAAAUUCAACAUACGAUAAGGGUUGCGCUCGUUGCGGGACUUAACCCAACAUCUCACGACACGAGCUGACGACGGCCAUGCAGCACCUGUCACUAGGUUCCCGAAGGCACAGCACUGUUUCCAGCGCCUUCCUAGGAUGUCAAGCCUUGGUAAGGUUCUGCGCGUAGCAUCGCAUUAAACCACAUCAUCCUCUGCUUGUGCGGGUCCCCGUCAAUUCCUUUGAGUUUUAAGCUUGCGCUCGUACUCCCCAGGCGGCAGGCUUAUCGCGUUAGCUUCUCAGCCCAAGGGGUCGAUACCUCAGACUAAUAGCCUGCAUCGUUUACGGCGUGGACUAC